rnacentral:rRNA from 1 species
UGGGGAAUCUUGCACAAUGGGCGAAAGCCUGAUGCAGCAACGCCGCGUGAGGGACGAAGGCUUUCUGAGUUGUAAACCUCUUUCAGCAGGGACGAUAAUGACGGUACCUGCAGAAGAAGCCCCGGCCAACUACGUGCCAGCAGCCGCGGUAAUACGUAGGGGGCGAGCGUUGUCCGGAUUCAUUGGGCGUAAAGAGCUCGUAGGCGGCUUGGCAAGUCGGAUGUGAAACCUCCAGGCUUAACCUGGAGCCGCCAUCCGAUACUGCCAUGGCUAGAGUUUGGUAGGGGACCACGGAAUUCCUGGUGUAGCGGUGAAAUGCGCAGAUAUCAGGAGGAACACCAGCGGCGAAGGCGGUGGUCUGGGCCAACACUGACGCUGAGGAGCGAAAGCGUGGGGAGCGAACAGG